rnacentral:ncRNA from 1 species
GAUAGAGGCGCAGCCUUCAAAAGUACAGCGCGGCGAGAAAGGACCGAUUUCGCCAUCAGCCGCGCAUGGAAAGGGUGGGCUGCCGAAGAGAGCGUGGGCCGGUCCGCGCCGCUUUCUGGUCAGUUGUCCGAACAGGAAAAUGACUGUCAUCAUGCAAUAUGAUGGAGCGCUAUCGC